ACGGGGACCCGCACAAGCGGUGGAUGAUGUGGAUUAAUUCGAAUGCAACGCGAAGAACCUUACCUACCCUUGACAUGUCCGGAACUUGCCAGAGAUGGCUUGGUGCCCGAAAGGGAAUCGGAACACAGGUGCUGCAUGGCUGUCGUCAGCUCGUGUCGUGAGAUGUUGGGUUAAGUCCCGCAACGAGCGCAACCCUUAUCAUUAGUUGCUACGCAAGGGCACUCUAAUGAGACUGCCGGUGACAAACCGGAGGAAGUGGGGAUGACGUCAAGUCCUCAUGGCCCUUAUGGGUAGGGCUUCACACGUCAUACAAUGGUCGGUACAGAGGGUUGCCAAGCCGCGAGGCGGAGCCAGUCCCACAAAGCCGAUCGUAGUCCGGAUUGUUCUCUGCAACUCGAGAGCAUGAAGUCGGAAUCGCUAGUAAUCGCAGGUCAGCAUACUGCGGUGAAUACGUUCCCGGGUCUU
rnacentral:rRNA from 1 species